AACAAAAAAAAAAAAAAAAUCCCGAAACGAUCUUAAUAUUGCGAUCAAAUGAAUGGACGGGAGGGGUGAAGCAAAAUGCUGAUGACUAUUAAACUCGUGGGUGCCCGCUUCGACCGGUUUGGGAAAUUAUCAGUUUACUGGAAAACUCCCAACCUGGGCCUCUGAAAGCCUCCCAUUGAUCCCUCGACACGAUUUUCCUCUCGCCCUUAAUUAAAGCGCGCAGCGCAGCGCCCAGAGCGCACUGAGGAGCGGCUGGACCAACUUGUAGCGCCAACAUUUGCAAAAGGCCCUGACUGCAGGGUUUCAGUGAAAUCGAUCACAAAGGAAACAUCACUGAGCAAUCUUCAUUCCACAGUGAAACAGAGAGCACCGGGGAUUCUGCAUGUGUCUGCGAAAAGUGCAACACAGGCACUAGAAAGCAAAGAAGAAGAAGCAGAAGAAGAAAAAGAACAAGGCUCUUUUUGUGCGAGGUGGCUGAGGUUUUUAUCCCUGCGUAGCAGAGUGUUGUCUAGCAUUACAAAUCUCAGCCCCUUUGCAGCCUGGACGGACACGGACAUGGGAGGGCCCUCGCUCUGUCUGCGUCCCUUUCUGCUCCGCCGUGCACAUCAGACCCAGAAGCUGAGGAGACGGGUGGACGGGCUGUUGAAGGAAAAAUAAAAUAAAAGGAAAUGAGGGAAGAAUGGAGGGCUGAGGAAAUAAAGGAAAUGUAUGCGGCUGGCGUAAGGAAGGAAGCAAGGAGGGAAGGAAGGAAGGCAGUAGUUAGUUUCAAGUAGUUGCAUAGGAACAAAAAGACAGUUUGUCUGUGUGAGCCGGCGUGAGCAAAAGACGGAGAAAAAGAGCGGCUACCAGGCGGCCACUGGAGGCGUGAGGAAUGCCCGGCCCUGGCACAGGAGAGCAGGGGUGGAGGUUGGAGUGUGUUCACAGUUCUGCUGCCAAGCUGAGUACAUUCCCACUACAGAGUCAUGGAGACCCUUUAACCUACACAUUUCUGGAGCUGCACUUUUCUGCAGGAGAGGCUCCAGCAGCGCACCUCACAGGGGCUUAUUCUGUAAAAAAAACCUGAAGACCAAGGUAGAGGAUAUACCAAUCAGAGUUAGUUUUUGUUUUGUUUUUUGGGCUGAUACCAGUUUUUGUUUUUCUUUGAGGUCUGACCUUCCAGUUCUGC